rnacentral:rRNA from 1 species
UACGUAGGGUGCAAGCGUUAAUCGGAAUUACUGGGCGUAAAGCGUGCGCAGGCGGUUAUGUAAGACAGAUGUGAAAUGCCCGGGCUUAACCUGGGAACUGCAUUUGUGACUGCAUGGCUAGAGUUUGGCAGAGGGGGGUAGAAUUCCACGUGUAGCAGUGAAAUGCGUAGAUAUGUGGAGGAACACCGAUGGCGAAGGCGGCAUCCUGGACCGGCAUUGACGCUGAUGAGCGAAAGCUAGGGGAGCAAACGGG